GCGUAAGUGUAGUAAGGGCAAACGGUGGACACCUUGGCAGUUGGAAGCGAUGAAGGACGUGGUUAGCUGCGAUAAGCUUCGGGGAGCCGCUAAGCAGGCUUUGAUCCGGAGAUGUCUGAAUGGGAGUGCCCCCUAGGAUGAAGUCCUAGGAGAUCGUACUGAAAUGAGUAGGUACGUUCAGCGAACCCGGUGAAGUGAAACAUCUCAGUAACCGGAGGAAAAGAAAUCAUAUGAGAUUCCCUGAGUAGUGGCGAGCGAAACGGGAAAAGCCUAAACCAAACGUGUGUAAGACUGCAUUCGUUGCUCGUUUGGGGUUGUAAGCAGUUUCGUCCUGUCCAUGCAGGAACAGGCAGGGUUAAAAGCGAUAUCUAGUCAAACGUCCCUGGAAAGGGCGACCACAGAGGGUGAUAGUCCCGUAGACGAAAGGUUGAACUACCCUGGAAACUCGCUUGAGUAGCGCCGAACACGUGAAAUUCGGCGUGAAUCUGGGAGGACCACCUUCCAAGGCUAAACAUUACCAACUGACCGAUAGUGAACUAGUACCGCGAGGGAAAGGUGAAAAGCACCCCGGAAGGGGAGUGAAAUAGAACUUGAAACCGUUUGCUUACAGACAGUAGGAGCAUCCGUUGGUUCUCUUCGGAGAAUCGUUGUGAUGUGACUGCAUGCCUAUUGUAGUAUGAGCCGGCGAGUUACGAUAUGUGGCGUUAGGUUAAGCCGAUGGAGGUGGAGCCGAAGCGAAAGCGAGUCUGAAUAGGGCGUUAGUCACAUGUCGUAGACCCGAAACCAGGUGAACUAGCCAUGGGCAGGUUGAAGUGUACUUGAUCGUACAUGAAGGACCGAACCCACUAGCGUUGAAAAGCUAGGGGAUGACCUGUGGUUAGGGGCGAAAAACCAAUCGAACCUGGUGAUAUCUGGCACUCCUCGAAAUAGUUUUUGGGCUAGCCUCACGUAAAAGAUCUAUCCGGGGGUAGAGCACUGGUCGGGGAAGGGGGGCAACUCCCGACCCUAGUCAAACUCCGAAUACCGGUAGAUUGUUCCGUGGGAGUCAGACUGUGGGUUAUAACAUCCAUGGUCGAGAGGGAAACAACCCUGACCGCCGUCUAAGGUCCCCAAAUCCAAGCUAAGUGGGAAAGGAAGUGUUGUUGUCGAAACAGCUGGAAGGUUGGCUUAGAAGCAGCCAUCCUUUAAAGAGUGCGUAAUAGCCCACCAGUCUAACGACGACGCGCCGAAAAUUUAACGGGGCUAAGCUUGGUACCGAAGAUGCGGGUUUCCACUUUUAGUGGGAGCGGUAGAGGAGCAUUCUGUUAACGGCUGAAGCUGAACUGAAAGGUUUGGUGGACGAGACAGAAGAGAGAAUGCCGGCAUGAGUAGCGCGAACGAUGUGAGAAUCAUCGUCACCGAUUGCCUAAGGUUUCCUGGGGAAGGUUCGUCCGCCCAGGGUUAGGCGGAACCUAAGGUGAACCCGAAAGGGGUAACCGAUGGACAGCAGGUUAAUAUUCCUGCGCCUCUAAUUUAGCGUUUGAGCAAAGGGGGGACCCCAAAGGUUCUCCUCCGCGUGCUGACGGAAUAGCACGUCCAAUCAUCAAGGUAGGGGGAAUAGGCAAAUCCGUUCCCCCGUUACGUCGAGAUGUCAUGGCGAGCCCUCUUUUGGGCGAAGGGAGACGGAAUCAUUGGGCAAGAAAAGCCUCUAGCGAGCUAGAAAGAGUCCGUACCAAAACUGACACAGGUAGGCAAGUAGAGAAUACUAAGGUGGACGAGUGAAAUCCGGUUAAGGAACUCGGCAAAAUGACCCCGUAACUUCGGGAUAAGGGGAGCCAUCUUCGGAUGGCCGCAGAGAAUCGGCCUGAGCGACUGUUUAGCAAAAACACAGGACUCUGCUAACUCGCAAGAGGAUGUAUAGAGUCUGAAACCUGCCCACUGCUGGAAGGUUAAGGGGAGGCGUUAACGCGCCGAACUGAAGCCCCAGUGAAGGGCGGCGGUAACUAUAACCGUCCUAAGGUAGCGAAAUUCCUUGUCAGGUAAGUUCUGACCCGCAUGAAAGGUCCAACGACUUGGGCGCUGUCUUGACCGGAUGCUCGGCGAAAUUGAAGCAUGAGUGUAAACGCUCAUGACCCGCGGCUGGACAAAAAGACCCCGUGGAGCUUUACUAUAGCAUGGUACUGGGUUUUAGCAUGUGUUGUGUAGGAUAGGUGGGAGACUAUGAAACUGGGGCGCCAGCCUCGGCGGAGUCAUCCUUGGAAUACCACCCUGCACCUGUUGAGACUCUAACUGGCAGCCGUUAGCAGCGGUUGUAGGACAGUGCUAUGUGGGUAGUUUGACUGGGGCGGUCGCCUCCUAAAGAGUAACGGAGGCGCGCAACGGUUUCCUCAGGCUGGUUAGUGAUCAGCCAACGAGCGUAAUGGCAUAAGGAAGCUUGACUGCGAGACCUACAAGUCGAGCAGGUGCGAAAGCAGGUCAUAGUGACCCCGUGGCACUUAGUGGAAGGGCCACUGAUCAUCGGAUAAAAGCUACCCCGGGGAUAACAGGCUAGUUCCGUCCAAGAGUCCACAUCGACGACGGAGCUCGGCACCUCGAUGUCGGCUCAUCCUAUCCUGGGGCUGAAUCAGGUCCCAAGGGUCCGGCUGUUCGCCGGUUAAAAGGGUACGCGAGCUGGGUUCAGACCGUCGUGAGACAGGUCGGUCUCUAUCCACCGUGGGCGUAGGAGAUUUGAGAGGGACAAUCUCUAGUACGAGAGGACCGAGAUUGCCAAACCUAUGGUGUACCAGUUGUCACGCCAGUGGCAUAGCUGGGUAGCCAAGUUUGGUCUGGAUAAGCGCUGAAGGCAUCUAAGCACGAAGCCGUCCUCAAGACGAGAUCUCCAUAUAAGACCCCUUCGAGACUAGGAGGUUGAUAGGCCGCAAGUGUACGCAUGGCAACAUGUUUAGCUGAGCGGUACUAAUUGGUCAAAGACUUACGUGG
rnacentral:rRNA from 1 species